AGAGUUUGAUCAUGGCUCAGGAUUAACGCUGGCGGCAUGCCUAAUACAUGCAAGUCGAACGAAACAGUUUACUGUUUAGUGGCGAACGGGUGAGUAAUACGUAUUUAAUCUACCCUUAAGUUGGGGAUAAUUACCGGAAACGGUGACUAAUACCGAAUAUCUUAUCGAAACACAAGUUUUGAUAAUGAAAGGAGCGUUUGUUUCGCUUUUGGAUGAGAAUACGUUGUAUUAGAUAGUUGGUGGGGUAACGGCCUACCAAGUCGAUGAUACAUAGUCGGACUGAGAGGUUGAACGACCACACUGGGAUUGAGAUACGGCCCAGACUCCUACGGGAGGCAGCAGUAAGGAAUUUUUCACAAUGGGGGAAACCCUGAUGAAGCAAUGCCGCGUGAUUGAAGAAGGUUUUAGGAUUGUAAAAAUCUGUGGUAAAGGAAAAAAAUCUAGGUAGAGAAAAAUACUUAGAAUUGAUAUUACUUUACUAGAAAGUCAUGACUAACUACGUGCCAGCAGUCGCGGUAAUACGUAGGUGGCAAGCGUUAUCCGGAUUCAUUGGGUGUAUAGUAUGCGUAGACGGAGAAACAAGUCAAAAAUCUAAAAAUAAGGCUCAACCUUAUACCAUUUUUGAUACUGUUUUUCUAGAGGGCAAAAGAUGUUAGUAGAAUUUCAUGUGUAGCGGUGAAAUGCGUGGAGAUAUGAAAGAAUACCAAAAGCGAAGGCAACUAACAUGUUUGUUCCUGACGUUGAGGCAUGAGAGCAUGGGUAGCAAAUAGGAUUAGAUACCCUAGUAGUCCAUAGCUGUAAACGAUGAGUGCUA
rnacentral:rRNA from 1 species